GCCAGCAGCCAUAUCACCCUGCAACUCCCACCUGGCAGCCCACUGAAGCUCAGCAGGUGUGAGCCUGGUCGGUACCUGGAUGGGAGACUCCUGGGAAAGCUGAGGUAGCUGCUGGAC
rnacentral:rRNA from 1 species